UACGGAGGGGGCGAGCGUUAUUCGGAAUUAUUGGGCGUAAAGGGCGCGUAGGCGGCCCGGUAAGUCAAAGGUGAAAUCCCUCGGCUCAACUGAGGAACUGCCUUUGAAACUGUCGGGCUUGAGGCCGGGAGGGGGUAGCGGAAUUCCCAGUGUAGCGGUGAAAUGCGUAGAUAUCUGGAGGAAUACCGGUGGCGAAGGCGGCGUUCUGGACCAUUACUGACACUGAACCGCGAAAGCUAGGGGAGCAAACGGG
rnacentral:rRNA from 1 species